rnacentral:tRNA from 1 species
AUUUUUGUGGUGUAUGAGCACAAAAAGUUUUCAAUUUUUAGGAAUAGUGUUAGAAUCUAUCAAAAAAU